UGGUGGGAAGCUCCGCAGCCCGCUGGAGCGCACAGUUCAUCUUCUUGGACUGGCCCGCGGUGAUGGUGAGUUCGAAUACCGGCGAACCCGUCCCCAUCAGCAGUUUAGGAGGAGACUCUUGGGCUCAACACGCCACCUGAGGCCUCACCUUUGUGGCUUUCGGUCCCUGAAACGUCGAGGCAGUACCAGGCCCAGGACAACCCAGGAAAGGACUCCGUCUCCAACUAUAGUAUGCCCCCUCAAAAAAUAACCCAGCUGAAGACACUAUAUUAAGAAAGAAGCAGUUUAUUAUACAAAAUGCAACCUGAGAUAAUAGAAAGGAGCAACACUUCCAGAAAUUUAAGCGUCUCACAACCUAACCCUCAAUCGCACCAACGGUAGGAGUCGAGGAUAGAAGAAGACAUUGGUCUCAGCCACAUCCAUGGAGGUAACCAGCUGUCGAACAUAGGCACGGUCAUCAGUAGUGACUUCAGCUCCAGGCUGCAGGACAUCACUCUUCAACACACAGUUCAGCCAGAACUUACCAGUGCUCGUCCUGACCCGCAUCACAGCAUCAAAGCCAACAACCUUCUGUACAUCACGACGUAAGUCACUGAGGAACCGCUCCUGAUCGUUCUCCACCUG